rnacentral:misc_RNA from 1 species
GAUGAAGAACGCAGCGAAACGCGAUAUGUAAUGUGAAUUGCAGAAUUCAGUGAAUCAUCGAAUCUUUGAACGCACAUUGCGCCCGCCAGUAUUCUGGCGGGCAUGCCUGUUCGAGCGUCAUUUCAACCCUCAAGCCCUCGGGUUUGGUGUUGGGGAUCGGCGAGCCUUUCUGGCAAGCCGGCCCCGAAAUCUAGUGGCGGUCUCGCUGCAGCCUCCAUUGCGUAGUAGUAAAACCCUCGCAACUGGAACGCGGCGCGGCCAAGCCGUUAAACCCCCAACUUCUGAAUGUUGACCUCGGAUCAGGUAGGAAUACCCGCUGAACUUAAGCAUAUCAAUAAGCGGAGGA